CAUGCAAGUCGAGCGAACUGACGAGGGAACUUGUCCCUCUUGACGUGAGCGGCGGACGGGUGAGUAACACGUGGGAAACCUACCUUUCAGCGGGGGAUAACGUUCGGAAACGGACGCUAAUACCGCAUAACGUUAAUAGUCGCAUGACUAUUAAAUAAAAGACGGCUCUGCUGUCACUGAAAGAUGGACCCGCGGUGCAUUAGUUAGUUGGUAAGGUAACGGCUUACCAAGACGAUGAUGCAUAGCCGACCUGAGAGGGUGAUCGGCCACACUGGGACUGAGACACGGCCCAGACUCCUACGGGCGGCAGCAGUAGGGAAUCUUCCGCAAUGGACGAAAGUCUGACGGAGCAAUGCCGCGUGUAUGAAGAAGGUCUCCGGAUCGUAAAGUACUGUUAUCAGCCAAGAACAAUUCACAGAGUAACUGUUGUGGAUCUGACGGUAACUGAUCAGAAAGCCACGGCUAACUACGUGCCAGCAGCCGCGGUAAUACGUAGGUGGCAAGCGUUGUCCGGAUUUAUUGGGCGUAAAGGGAGCGCAGGCGGUGACUUAAGUCUGAUGUGAAAGCCCACGGCUCAACCGUGGAAGGUCAUUGGAAACUGGGUCACUUGAAUGGAGCAGAGGAGAACGGAAUUCCAUGUGUAGCAGUGAAAUGCGUAGAUAUAUGGAGGAACACCAGUGGCGAAGGCGGUUCUCUGGGCUCACAUUGACGCUGAGGCUCGAAAGCGUGGGGAGCGAACAGGAUUAGAUACCCUGGUAGUCCACGCCGUAAACGAUGAGUGCUAAGUGUUGGGGGGCUUCCACCCCUCAGUGCUG
rnacentral:rRNA from 1 species